GCCACCGGGGGCAUCAAGCGUUUAUUGAACGCAGCUCCUUGUUUUUAGAAAAAUACAUUAUGAAAUUUAUUUUUAUGUUUUGCGGAUUUCUUUGCAGGAAACUUCACAAGACCAUGCUAUUGAAUGUGGUGAUGAAGAGGGCCAGAAUUUGCCAGUGGAGCUGAACAGUGAAUCUUCACAAGACAAAUCUAACGAGAAUGACACUGAAGGGGACCAGAAAUUGCCAGUGGAGCUUAAUCAUGAAACUUCAGAAGACAAUACUAAAGAGGACGACGACGAAGGGGGCCAGAAAUUGCCAGUAGAGCUUAAUCAACUGAUGGUAUUUUGUUCCGGAAGUACAGUUCAAGAUUGGCAGCUACAUUGAGGUAGAGUAUGAGCUGAACAGAGGAAGAAAGAAGGAAUGUAAAAAAUAUGUUGGAGAAAUUAUUGAUGCGGUCGAUGAUGAACCAUAUGUUAGCUUUUUGGAUAACUGAACUGUAAGAAACAUUAAGAAGAAAAGACUGACUCAUAGAAGAUAAAGCCUUAGUGGCACCAUCACAAAUUGUGAGACAUUUGAAUAUUCCAGAAGAAAUUAUUCAAGGACGUGCAGAAAUGUUGAAUAUUCCAGAAGAAAAUAUUAAAGGACGUACAGAAAUGUUGUAUUUUAAAGAUUACCCUGUUUAGAGUUAAAAAUAGAAAAACCUUUCAGCAAAUUCCCAUGAUCAGCCAGACCGAUCUUUAACAACCUUUGUCUGUAGCGUCAUUAUAAUGGUUCCACUUGGUCUCUGUUAAGGGUUACUAGAGAUAGAUUGUGUGGGUGGGAGGGG
rnacentral:lncRNA from 1 species